CCCGCUGAACUUAAGCAUAUCAAUAAGCGGAGGAAAAGAAACCAACAGGGAUUGCCUUAGUAACGGCGAGUGAAGCGGCAAAAGCUCAAAUUUGAAAUCGGCCUCCAGGUCGAGUUGUAAUUUGUAGAUUGUAUCUUGAGAGC
rnacentral:rRNA from 1 species